CCCUUAGAUGUUCUGGGCCGCACGCGCGCUACACUGAAGGGAUCAGCAUGUUUUCCCUUCCCGAGAGGGACGGGUAACCCGCUGAACCCCCUUCGUGGUAGGGAUCGGAGCUUGCAAUUGUUCUCCGUGAACCAGGAAUUCCCAGUAAGCGCAAGUCAUAAGCUUGCGUUGAUUACGUCCCUGCCCUUUGUACACACCGCCCGUCGCUACUACCGAUUGAACGUUUUAGUGAGGUAUUUGGACUGGGCCUUGGGAGGUUUCGGCCUCCCUUGUUGCUCGGAAAGACUCCCAAACUUGAGCGUUUAGAGGAAGUAAAAGUCGUAACA
rnacentral:rRNA from 1 species